AGUGAACGCUGGCGGUAUGCCUAACACAUGCAAGUCGAACGGCAGCACAGUAAGAUCUUGCUCUUACGGGUGGCGAGUGGCGGACGUGUGAGGAAUACAUCGGAAUCUACUUUUUCGUGGGGGAUAACGUAGGGAAACUUACGCUACUACCGCAUACGACCUACGGGUGAAAGAAGGGGAUCUUCGGACCUUGCGCGAUUGAAUGAGCCGAUGUCGGAUUAGCUAGUUGGUGGGGUAAAGGCCCACCAAGGCGACGAUCCGUAGCUGGUCUGAGAGGAUGAUCAGCCACACUGGAACUGAGACACGGUCCAGACUCCUACGGGAGGCAGCAGUGGGGAAUAUUGGACAAUGGGCGCAAGCCUGAUCCAGCCAUACCGCGUGGGUGAAGAAGGCCUUCGGGUUGUAAAGCCCUUUUGUUGGGAAAGAAAAGCAGCAGGUUAAUACCCCGCUGUUCUGACGGUACCCAAAGAAUAAGCACCGGCUAACUUCGUG
rnacentral:rRNA from 1 species